rnacentral:rRNA from 1 species
UACGAAGGGGGGCUAGCGUUGCUCGGAUUGACUGGGCGUAAAGGGCGCGUAGGCGGUUCGUACAGUCAGACGUGAAAUUCCUGGGCUCAACCUGGGGGCUGCGUUUGAUACGUGCGGACUUGAGUGCGGAAGAGGGUCGUGGAAUUCCCAGUGUAGAGGUGAAAUUCGUAGAUAUUGGGAAGAACACCGGUGGCGAAGGCGGCGACCUGGUCCGAUACUGACGCUGAGGCGCGAAGGCCAGGGGAGCAAACGGG